rnacentral:rRNA from 1 species
AAUAGAUACCCCGGUAGUCCACGCCGUAAACGAUGAGUGCUAAGUGUUAGAGGGUUUCCGCCCUUUAGUGCUGAAGUUAACGCAUUAAGCGCUCCGCCUGGGGAGUACGGCCGCAAGGCUGAAACUCAAAGGAAUUGACGGGGGCCCGCACAAGCGGUGGAGCAUGUGGUUUAAUUCGAAGCAACGCGAAGAACCUUACCAGGUCUUGACAUCCUCUGACAACCCUAGAGAUAGGGCUUCUCCUUCGGGAGCAGAGUGACAGGUGGUGCAUGGUUGUCGUCAGCUCGUGUCGUGAGAUGUUGGGUUAAGUCCCGCAACGAGCGCAACCCUUGAUCUUAGUUGCCAUCAUUUAGUUGGGCACUCUAAGGUGACUGCCGGUGACAAACCGGAGGAAGGUGGGGAUGACGUCAAAUCAUCAUGCCCCUUAUGACCUGGGCUACACACGUGCUACAAUGGACGGUACAAAGAGCUGCAAGACCGUGAGGUGGAGCUAAUCUCAUAAAACCGUUCUCAGUUCGGAUUGUAGGCUGCAAC